AGCUAAACGACUCAACAACAACAAAAGUAAGAGAUGAACGAGGCAGCGGCAGCCCCGCUCCGGACUCACUCAUGAUUCCCAGUUACCGAGUUCAGAAUUAUUCCGCUGCAAACAAGAAAAGACACAAGUUUCUGCUAAGAAUCCAGAGACGGGAGAAAUAGGAUUUAUCCGAGAAGGUCUUUCAUUUCCCUAACGAGGCAUGGUAACCCUAUGGGAUGUUCUCAUCAGUGAUGCAGCCCAAGACAACAUUUCCUCUUGCCCAGAGGGGACACCCAGGAGAGUGUGGCUCCAGCCAGGAGGAUUUCCUGACACACCUGGUCUGGAGGCUCCUCCCCCUGGGCGUGACCAGGUAGAGGGGCGUGGCCCUGGCAGAUCCUGCAAAACGCACCCUCCUCUUUUUUCCUCUUUUUUGCUCUCUUGCCAGCAGCGCAUGGCUCACCCUCGCAGAGUCUGGAAGUCACAAGGGAGAACAUCUUAGGCUUAGCUCAGGCUUCUUUUCUCUGCAAAUUGAACUGGAACCACAAGACAAAGCCUGCCUUUCAGAUUUACUGCUGUGAGCAGAAUAUUUUGAGAUGGCGAGUGCAGCUUUCUCUGGUUACGGAUACCGAGCAAUGCCUAAGUUAAAUGAACACAAUUUUGUUAUUUGGAAAAAGCGUCUGUUGGUGAUCCUUGAAGCGGAAGGGAAUUUAGAUGCCAUUGAAAUGCCUAUGCCCACUGGCACGAGUGAAGAAGAUUUGGCUAGAAUUAAGUUGUGGAAAUCACAAAACAGCAAAGCCAAGGUAACCAUAUUAGAUGGACUUGAAGACGAACAUUUGUCGCUAAUUGACAGUAGAGACCAUGCUGCGCAAAUUUUAAGUGAUUUGGAGCGGAUGUAUGGAGGCAGCGUGAAGAGUGAAUUGGAGCUUUCGUCUGGAAACAUCAGUAAGUGUGCUCAAUGGAGAAUAUUAAUACGCGAUCUUUUAAAGCUUAGAAUGAAUUCUAAAGCAGAGUUUUCAAAACAUGUGAAUGAAUUUACGGCUAUACUGCAGAAAAUCCAACUGGCUGGGCGUCCAUUUGAUGAAGACGAAAAGGUUGCGUGCUUCCUAGCAACACUAGGACCCAAAUUUGAUACAUUUGCUUACUUAAGGGAGGAUAAAGGCCAAUCUACUUUUAAAGAUGUGAUUGCCUAUUGGAGGCAGGAGUGCCAAGGGAGAGACGAGUCUCCAGUCAGAAACCUAAGGAGCAGUGACUCCGAUUAUGUCUCUAGACAUCACGCGAAGGCCAAAGGCACACCUAAGAAAGUUGUGUGUUUUAAUUGCCACAAAGGAGGCCACAUUGCGAAGAACUGCAGAGCUCCAAAAACACCAAAACCCCUUCCUUUUAAGCAAGAAAAGGAAAAGAAGGGGAAUUAUCAGCGUCCUUGCUUUUGCCAGAAAAGUGCUUAACUGCUAAUAAUCGCGAAAACAAAUCAAGUUAGCGGGGCAACGUCCCAUUUUCCAUAUAAUAAGGACUUCUUUGAAGAUUAUAAUAUUGAUAAAUCACAAGGUGGUGAUAUUGAAGUUGCAGGUGGCAACAUUCGUUCCCUAUCUUCCAGAACUGAAAUAUGCUCAGUGUGUCUACUUUGGGCAGAAAAGGUUUUCUUUCUUUUUAAAAAAAAUAUUUUUUUAUUAGUUUUUACACAUAUUUUCCAGUACAACAUCCUUUUAAAUGUCAUUUCGAAAUUUUUGGCUAUUGCAGCCUAAGACUUCCUUCAACCUCGACUGCUGGUUUUCUAAACUAUGCAUUUUGUUGCUAUAAUUAUUGCUAUAAACUCAAAUUUCCAAUACAUCUAUUCUUAAUUCUUUUCACAAUAAUUAAUAAAUGACUCCUUACAAAACUUCUUCUAACCCUACAAGCGAUGUCAAUUGGUUACAAUUGCUUUCCAAAUAUAUCGAAAACUUCUUCCAUUCCUUUAGGAAAUUCUGGUCCUGCUUGUUCCGAAUUUUCCCUGUUAGUCUCGCCAUCUCAGCAUAGUUCAUCAGUUUCUCUUUCCACUCUUCUUUAGUUGAAAUUUCUUCUUGUUUCCAUCUUUGGGCUAAUAGUAUCUUUGCUGCAGUUAUCGCAUAUGAAAACAAUUUUUUAUCAUUCUUAUGAAUUUCUGUACCCACAAUAGAAGGACAGAAAAGUUUUUCAAGUAGUAUUUGGAAACUGAGAAUGCAAAGUAACUAAGAAUGGUGAGGUCCAAGCCAAGCGAAUAAAAGGUGUAUAUGAGGUUAAUCUUUCAGUACUUCUGUCUGCAAAAGUGGUGCGCUCAAACCACAAGGAUGAGGCGGACCUCAAACUCUGGCACAGAAGACUUGGACACAGAGACACCAACGCCAUACUGGACCUCCAAAAGAACGAGCUUGCGAGGGGACUGCAGGUAACA